UACAGAGGGUGCAAACGUUGCUCGGAAUCACUGGGCGUAAAGGGUGCGUAGGCGGGUCUUUUAAGUCAGGGGGUGAAAUCCUGGAGCUCAACUCCAGAACUGCCUUUGAUACUGAGGAUCUUGAGUUCGGGAGAGGUGAGUGGAACUGCGAGUGUAGAGGUGAAAUUCGUAGAUAUUCGCAAGAACACCAGUGGCGAAGGCGGCUCACUGGCCCGAUACUGACGCUGAGGCACGAAAGCGUGGGGAGCAAACAGGG
rnacentral:rRNA from 1 species